CCUUCUCCCUAUAAAGAGUCUUUCAUUUUGUUCAGCGCCUAAGAGCUCCUUUCUAUAUGUUAGAUGGCUGCUGCCCAAUUUAUGAAUUGUUGAAUAAGGCCAAUAAGAUCUUUAAAAUUUAC